CCUACGGGAGGCAGCAGUCGGGAAUAUUGCGCAAUGGAGGAAACUCUGACGCAGUGACGCCGCGUGCAGGAAGAAGGUUUUCGGAUUGUAAACUGCUUUAGACAGGGAAGAAAAAAGACAGUACCUGUAGAAUAAGCUCCGGCUAACUACGUGCCAGCAGCCGCGGUAAUACGUAGGGAGCAAGCGUUAUCCGGAUUUAUUGGGUGUAAAGGGUGCGUAGACGGAGAAGCAAGUUAGUUGUGAAAUCCCUCGGCUUAACUGAGGAACUGCAACUAAAACUACUUCCCUUGAGUGCAGGAGAGGAGAAUGGAAUUCCUAGUGUAGCGGUGAAAUGCGUAGAGAUUAGGAAGAACACCAGUGGCGAAGGCGAUUCUCUGGACUGUAACUGACGCUGAGGCUCGAAAGCGUGGGGAGCAAACAGGAUUAGAUACCCGUGUAGUC
rnacentral:rRNA from 1 species